rnacentral:rRNA from 2 species
GAACGAACGCUGGUUCCAGGCUUAAAGAAGCAAGUCGAGCGCCGUAGCAAUAUGGAGCGGCAGACGGGAUAGCAACACGUGGGAACGUGCCCUUCAGUUCGGAACAACCCAGGGAAACUUGGACUAAUACCGAAUACGUCCGAAAGGAGAAAGAUUUAUCGCCGAAGGAUCGGCCCGCGGCUGAUUAGCUAGUUGGUGAGGUAACGGCUCACCAAGGCGACGAUCAGUAGCUGGUCUGAGAGGAUGAUCAGCCUCACUGGGACUGAGACACGGCCCAGACUCCUACGGGAGGCAGCAGUGGG